ensembl:ncRNA asRNA:CR45886 antisense RNA:CR45886
UGUUUAAAAAUAGAUUUCUAAAAUGUGAAGGAAUCUCACCUCCACAUUUUCAAGAUCCAGGGGCUGUUGCUUAAGGAAGUGCAGCGGAUUGGCGUCCUCACUCAGGUUGUUGUACUCAUCCUCUGAUAAGGCGGGAAGACGAUCGUUGUGGAAGUCGUCGUCCUCCUCCUCGAUUUCGUGAGCCUGUAUGGCGGACUUGGCUGUAGGAUUGGAUUUUAGUUUGGGAGUUGUGGCUGUGGGUGUGGCGGUGGUUGAGCUGGAAGAACCAGUUGAAGGAUCUGAAGAUAUUGACUGCGGCAAGACCUUCACUGUGAUGAUGUCCUGGCUAUUGUUUGAUUUCGUUACAUUCUGGCCAGAGCACAUAAUCCCACACAGGAGCAAAACUAAAGGGCAAGACAUUUAAAAUGAAUAACAUUAUCACAAAGAACAUUUCCCCAUCGGUUGAAAAAAAAAUAUUUUGUUUUGCAAUUUCCAUGUGAUAUUUUAUUUGAUAAAAUAUUACAACCUAAACAC